rnacentral:rRNA from 1 species
GACAGAGGGUGCAAACGUUGCUCGGAAUUACUGGGCGUAAAGCGCGUGUAGGCGGUUCCGCCAGUCGGGUGUGAAAUCCCGGGGCUCAACCCCGGGACUGCAUUCGAUACUGUCAGGCUAGAGGUAGGUAGGGGAGAUCGGAAUUCCUGGUGUAGCGGUGAAAUGCGCAGAUAUCAGGAGGAACACCGGUGGCGAAGGCGGACCUCUGGGCAUUUCCUGACGCUGAGGCGCGAAAGCGUGGGGAGCAAACGGG